GAUUUGUGUUCUCAUGAGUAAAUAUAUUAAUUUAUCUUGUGUUGUAAAAGACGUUUUCUGAUUGUCAUUUUAUUUUGGAAAUGAUUUUAUUUUGGUGAUCAUAGAAGACUUCACUUCCUGUUCCUUGUUAUUGUGAAGCGCGAACUGCCAGAAAUGGAUGUAUGUUUUCCCCUCCUGUGUUGCGGACAAUAAAAGAAACGGGAAAAGUAAUCAACCAACCAAGUGUGUACAUUAUUAAGAGAACAUGGCUGAAGAAGAAGAAAACUCUUCGAGCUCAACAGGUUAUGGGCCCAGGCGUGACACAACAGGAGGAAGAUGGCAGAGGUUAGUGUUCAACGGAGACGAAAACAGUUACGAACUCUGGGAGGCAAAGUUCCUCGGCCACAUGCGGAUCAUUGGUCUAAAGGACACUAUAUUAUCAGCCACUAAUCCAGAUGCAGAGAAGAAUGCUGAAUGCUACGCUGAACUAAUUCAGUUUCUUGAUGAUAAAAGCCUUUCACUGGUAAUGAGAGAUGCGACUGACGACGGAAGAAAAGCUUUAAAAAUACUACGUGACCACUACGAUAGUAAAGGCAAGCCCAGAAUCAUCGCACUGUACACAGAGCUGACGUCUUUACAGAAGAAACCAGAUGAGACAGUGACAGAUUAUAUUAUCCGAGCUGAAAAAGCAGUGACCUCCCUAAGAAAUGCAAAAGAAGUCAUCAGUGAUGGACUUAUUAUCGCUAUGAUUUUAAAGGGGCUUCCUGAAGCUUACAAGCCAUUUGCUAUUCACACAACUCAAAGCAGUGAAGAUUUAACAUUCACACAGUUCAAAAGCAACCUACGAAGUUAUGAGGAAACCGAGAAAUUUGACAACAAAGUAAAAACAGAUAAUGUGAUGAAGGUCGAUUUAACCUCCAUCACCUGUCAUGGAUGCGGAAACCGAGGACAUUUUGUAAAAGAUUGUCGCCAAAAGGGAACACCUAAGUGGUGUAGCUACCAUAGAAGCUCGACACACAGUGAUGAGACAUGUAGAAGAAAAACCAAGUACAGAGAUGAUGCGAAACUAACUGUAGAAAAACAAGAGGACAAGAAAGAAGAGCAGACUUUUGUAUUUAAAGUUAGUCAAAGACUCCUGCCUACUGACAUAAUAAGAGAAGGACUAAUGGUGGACUGUGGUGCUACUUCACACAUCAUUACAGAGAAGAACAAGUUCAUAAAGUUUGAUGAGACUUUUGAUCCAGAGAAACACUACAUGGAGCUUGCUGAUGGAUCCAGGACAAAUAACGUCGCACUCAAGAGGGGAGAUGCCAACGUCUCCCUACGGGACGUACAAGGACACUGUACCACCAUCACACUGAGAGAUGCUCUGUUCAUCCCAUCCUACCCUCAGAGCAUAUUUUCAGUGAAGGCAGCUACAACCCAUGAAGCACAGGUGGUCUUCAAGAAGGGACAGAAUGAGCUAGUGAACAAAGAUGGGACAGUCUUCUCUAUCGAAGAAUACAACAGACUCUACUAUUUGAAAACGAGCAACCUGUGGAAUCCCCCAAACCUAUAAAGAGGCGCUGAUGUCACCAGAGGCACCAAGGUGGAAACAGGCAAUGGCAGAAGAAAUCAACUCUCUGAAAGAGAAUGACACAUUCGAACUGACUACUUUACCUACUGGUAGAAAUACCAUUGGAGGAAAAUGGGUCUACGCUCUCAAAGAAAAUGAACAAGGACAAAUAUUCAAAGCCAGGUUUGUAGCAAAAGGUUACAACCAAACACAAGGCAUAGACUACCAAGAGACAUUUGCACCAACAGCAAACAUGACAUCUGUGCGAGCCCUAAUGCAAAUAUCAGUCCAGAAUGAUCUCAUUAUCCACCAAAUGGAUGUUAAAACUGCAUAUUUGCAUGCUCCCAUUGAGGAAGAAAUAUACAUGGACCAACCAGAAGGUUUUGAGCAAACAGAGUCAGGAGAAAAUUUGGUGUACAAAUUAAAAAAAUCCCUUUACGGGUUAAAACAAUCAGGGAGAAACUGGUACAAACUCUUGAAUGACUACCUUGAACAAAAUGACUUUGAAAGAAACCUUUCUGAUCACUGUGUAUACAGGAAAGACAUUGACCAUGAAACUCUACUGGUUAUCAUCUGGGUAGAUGACUUGAUCAUUGCGGCUAGCAAUAAUAACUUGUUAAACACAUUCAAAGAAACAAUGAGGUCAAAGUUUAACAUGAAAGACCUGGGGAAAAUAUCCAGUUUUCUUGGUAUCCAGUUUAUACAAAAAGAGGCUGAAAUCAGGAUGAAUCAGAAGAGGUACAUUCAAAGAAUGUUGGAACGCUUUGGGAUGUCAGAUUGCAAAACUAGAUCCACACCGUGUGAACUAAAAACGGACACUACUACAUGUGGAGGAAGUGAUGCAAAUGAGACAGUUAACUCAAGAGAGUACAGAGAAAUAGUGGGCAGCCUGAUAUAUGCCAUGACGUGUACGAGACCAGAUAUAAGCUGGGUUGUUAGCAGACUAUCUCAAACACUAGCUCAACCCACGAGAGAGGACUUAGUAACGGCAAAACAAGUCCUCAGAUACCUAAAAGGUACAAAUGACUUUGAACUGAUCUUUAAGAAAAGCAGUGAGGAUCUAGAUCUAAUUGCUUACAGUGACUCUGACUGGGCAUCCUCUGUAAAAGACAGACGCAGUACAACAGGCUACUGUUUUGCACUUACUAAAGAGGGACCAGUAAUAUCUUGGAAAACGAAGAAACAGCCUACAGUGGCACUCUCAACAUGUGAAGCUGAAUACAUUGGUCUUGCAACCACUACUCAGGAAAGCAUGUACUUAACCCAACUGUUAAACGGCAUGGACAGAAAAAGGUACACGUGUACUAAACUGUUUGGGGACAACCAAGGGGCCAUUGCUUUGAGUAAAAAUCCAGUGAACAGACAGAGGUCGAAGCACAUUGAUGUGAAAUAUCACUUCAUUCGUGAAGCGGUAAAUGAAGGAAAAAUCCGCAUUGAACAUUGUCCAUCAGAAGAAAUGGCUGCAGACGUACUAACAAAACCAGUUACAAGAGUGAGACUCAGAAAGUUUCAAAAAUGGUUCUUUGGAAAUGCAUAAGAUGCUGUGGGUUAACAGCAUGAGAACAAGGGGGGGUGUUAGAUUUGUGUUCUCAUGAGUAAAUAUAUUAAUUUAUCUUGUGUUGUAAAAGACGUUUUCUGAUUGUCAUUUUAUUUUGGAAAUGAUUUUAUUUUGGUGAUCAUAGAAGACUUCACUUCCUGUUCCUUGUUAUUGUGAAGCGCGAACUGCCAGAAAUGGAUGUAUGUUUUCCCCUCCUGUGUUGCGGACAAUAAAAGAAACGGGAAAAGUAAUCAACCAACCAAGUGUGUACAUUAUUAAGAGAACAUGGCUGAAGAAGAAGAAAACUCUUCGAGCUCAACAGUGAGUGACGUGUAAAAGUCCACGUGAACCUCACAGCCACCACAGCAACCGUCGGGCAGAACGUCACUCUGCAGUGUCGAGCUCCAAACAAGAAGCUCAUCACAGUUGUAGAGUGGAGCAGAGCUGACCUGCAGGAUCAGUAUGUGUUUUUGUUCCUGGAUGGUCAUCCCGAUAGAGGCAAGCAGCAUCCAUACUUUAUAGACAGGGUGGAUCUGCAGGACAGACAGAUGAAGGAUGGAGACGUGUCUUUGAUUCUGAACGAUGUGAACAUUAAUGACACUGGAACAUAUGAGUGUCGUGUCGCAACAGGAACAAAUCGCAAGAGGAGAGCUCAUCUGAAGACCGACCCCAUCAGCAUCAUCUACCUGAGUGUUGUUGAUCCUCCAGGUCAGACAGGAGGACACACAGAGGAUGGAUGGAUUAUCAUUGUUAGUUUUGUUAUAGUUUUUGGUGUCGCCACUGUUGUUACACUUGUUGCUGUUGUUGUUGUUGUUGUUGUUUUUCUUUCAAAACAAAAUGUGAAAAGUAGAGGCAGGGGGCUUGGAGAAACCUCACUCUGAUAGCCCUGGGAUGAUUAUUUAAGAAAUAUCUAAAAUCUCUUCACAGCUGAACUGUGAGUGUCCUGCUGAAAUUCUUCAUGUUACUUUGUUGAAUGACAAGUUCAAGCUGCAAAUGUUAAAGAACAUUCUCAAAGUGGUCCUCUCAAUAAUGUUUUUUAAAUCUGCUAAAGUUGAAGGCCAAGGAACAGAUUCUGUUCCCAACAGUACAGCUAAAAACAUCUGAUGUCUUGAUAAGUUUGAUUCCAGAGCUGUUUCAGAAUGAUAAUAAGACUUUAUAAUUCCCAGAGGGAAUCUGUAUUGUUACAGAAUGUCACUUAAAAUGUAUAUUAAAAAUGGAAAAUUCUAUACAAGACUACAUCGACAAAUAAAAAAUUCAAAUAUAACCGGUAAAUUAUAAUGAAGAUAAAGAUUAAAGCAAUAAUAUUUACAGUAUAGACAAAAUAGUACAAGUGAAAUUAUUGUUGAUGUGAUAAAGAGGUGUUAUAAAGUUUGAUUAUCACAUGUAGGUUUCACAGGUAGUGGUUGAAUGAGUCUUUUGUUUUGAUUGGCUUCAUUUCAGUGUGAAUUCUGGCUUUUCGCUUAAAAAUAUAUCUUUCAACAGCUAUUGAAACCUGUUAAGUAACUUACCUGUAAUUUUUAAGACGAGGAGAAUGCUGUUCAGGUUAUAACAUCAUUUUCAAAGCUAACUUUAAUUGAUUUAAUUGAUCUUUAACAAGAACAACUGCCAAAGCAAAGUCAGUUUGCUUUGCACAUAAAAUUCCUCUAAUUGGCUAGUAAGGGGAAUAUCAUUGGUAUACAACAAAACACUGGAGUGAGUCAUACAACUUAUUACCUCAAGAGCCAAAUCAUUUAAAUAUAUUGUAAACAACAUAAGAGAAAGAGCAUCACCUUGGCCCCAAGUUGAUGUUGUUCAUCUCAAUCUAGCAUUUUCAGUGGGAAAAACACAAAGCGAACCUGUUUAUGUGUAAAUUUAUUUCAGAUUGCUAUAACACUGCACACAUCUUCAGUCUUGGAGAAGUCUUGGAGACUGAAGAGGCCACUUUGAUGAGUGACCAAAUCUUUCUCCGACUGAAAACGCUACGUCCAGAUGAACAGAAUCAACUUUUUGGGAUUUCCCUACCUGGAUGAUUGAGCAUGCACGAAGACAAAGGAAGUAUUAAACAAGCCAGCUUUCAUAUUACUGAUAUGCAAACCAGCAACAUGAUGACAGUUAAAAGAUUUUAGUGCUUUAGGCUCCAUAACAAUGUUCUGUGUUCAUAUAAUCUUACAAUACAAGACAUACUCAACUGUACAACCUAUCUUUUGCAUGCAAUAUUCUGACUGUAUUCUGUGACCCUGGCAGAAGAUAACUAUGCCUGUUAUCCUUCUUUGUCAAAUGCCAUGCAAACUGCUGCCAUACUCUGUACUGUUGGUUGCCCCCUUUUCCAAAUGCAAAUUAAAACCUCACAAAGAGAA